rnacentral:rRNA from 1 species
GUGGGGAAUAUUGGACAAUGGACCAAAAGUCUGAUCCAGCAAUUCUGUGUGCACGAUGAAGGUCUUCGGAUUGUAAAGUGCUUUCAGGUGGGAAGAAGAAAGUGACGGUACCACCAGAAGAAGCGACGGCUAAAUACGUGCCAGCAGCCGCGGUAAUACGUAUGUCGCAAGCGUUAUCCGGAAUUAUUGGGCGUAAAGCGAGUCUAGGCGGCUUGUUAAGUCAGAUGUGAAAAUGCGGGGCUCAACUCCGUAUUGCGUUUGAAACUGGCAGGCUAGAGUACUGGAGAGGUGGGCGGAACUACAAGUGUAGAGGUGAAAUUCGUAGAUAUUUGUAGGAAUGCCGAUAGUGAAGACAGCUCACUGGACAGAUACUGACGCUAAAGCUCGAAAGCGUGGGGAGCGAACAGGAUUAGAUACCCGAGUAGUCC